rnacentral:rRNA from 1 species
GGUUAAGCGACUAAGCGUACACGGUGGAUGCCCUGGCAGUCAGAGGCGAUGAAGGACGUGCUAAUCUGCGAUAAGCGUCGGUAAGGUGAUAUGAACCGUUAUAACCGGCGAUUUCCGAAUGGGGAAACCCAGUGUGUUUCGACACACUAUCAUUAACUGAAUCCAUAGGUUAAUGAGGCGAACCGGGGGAACUGAAACAUCUAAGUACCCCGAGGAAAAGAAAUCAACCGAGAUUCCCCCAGUAGCGGCGAGCGAACGGGGAGGAGCCCAGAGCCUGAAUCAGUGUGUGUGUUAGUGGAAGCGUCUGGAAAGGCGCGCGAUACAGGGUGACAGCCCCGUACACAAAAAUGCACAUGCUGUGAGCUCGAUGAGUAGGGCGGGACACGUGGUAUCCUGUCUGAAUAUGGGGGGACCAUCCUCCAAGGCUAAAUACUCCUGACUGACCGAUAGUGAACCAGUACCGUGAGGGAAAGGCGAAAAGAACCCCGGCGAGGGGAGUGAAAAAGAACCUGAAACCGUGUACGUACAAGCAGUGGGAGCAUGCUUAGGCGUGUGACUGCGUACCUUUUGUAUAAUGGGUCAGCGACUUAUAUUCUGUAGCAAGGUUAACCGAAUAGGGGAGCCGAAGGGAAACCGAGUCUUAACUGGGCGUUAAGUUGCAGGGUAUAGACCCGAAACCCGGUGAUCUAGCCAUGGGCAGGUUGAAGGUUGGGUAACACUAACUGGAGGACCGAACCGACUAAUGUUGAAAAAUUAGCGGAUGACUUGUGGCUGGGGGUGAAAGGCCAAUCAAACCGGGAGAUAGCUGGUUCUCCCCGAAAGCUAUUUAGGUAGCGCCUCGUGAACUCAUCUCCGGGGGUAGAGCACUGUUUCGGCAAGGGGGUCAUCCCGACUUACCAACCCGAUGCAAACUGCGAAUACCGGAGAAUGUUAUCACGGGAGACACACGGCGGGUGCUAACGUCCGUCGUGAAGAGGGAAACAACCCAGACCGCCAGCUAAGGUCCCAAAGUCAUGGUUAAGUGGGAAACGAUGUGGGAAGGCCCAGACAGCCAGGAUGUUGGCUUAGAAGCAGCCAUCAUUUAAAGAAAGCGUAAUAGCUCACUGGUCGAGUCGGCCUGCGCGGAAGAUGUAACGGGGCUAAACCAUGCACCGAAGCUGCGGCAGC